rnacentral:lncRNA from 12 species
CAGGCAAAGAUUUUUUUACUCAGACAGAAAACAGGAUAAAAUGACAUCAGUCCUCAUCAAGGAAAGCAUCCCACUGAGGUCCAGCGUGGGUGAGGAGCAGCAGGUGGAGCUCCUUCCAGCCCAGACCCUGACCUGGGGCGAGUCCACACAGGCACAGAUCAUUGUUUGGCUGCAGAAGAAAUGAAAAGAGCUUCGCAGAAGCGCUGAUAAUGUGGAGGUGUCCUUAUCACAGGCCAUUGCAGGCAGCGUAACAAAGAGGGCCCACGGUGACUCAGGCCGGUGACAAUGGGGAUAAUGAGAACAUCAGCAGAGGGGAGGGUGCCCACCCAGCAGAGCACUGGGCCAGAACAUCUCGGGUCUGUUCAGAGAUAAAGCCUGAAGGGGAAUUCGCUUCAGCUGGAGAGGCAGCUCGCUGCAGCCUCUGGAAAAGUGAAAAGAGCCACGGGAGGAGGAAGAAAGGAAUAUUAAAAGCUUCUCGAGGGUGGAAGGAGUGUUUCUCUCCUAUUCUUUCUCCCAUGUAAAGUCGGGUUGGAUUCUGG